UUUUUUUUUUUGGUAAGGAGGGUGGGGAAUAAACGAUUCAGAAUUCCCUGCUUGAAAUUCUCACCGGCCAUAGUUUUUUUUUCUGCCCACUCCUCACAUUGCAAGGCAUGAAAGCAAACACCAAAUGACCAGGAUAUAUAUUCGCUUCAUUAUUGGGAUACCUUACAAUUACAAAGCAAUGCAAGUACAUCAUUGGUACACGCCCAAGGCUACAAAUCCUUUAUUGUCACACCACUCCACACACUUCUCAUGGAUGAAAUGAAACAGAAUAUAACGGGAAUCACCCACCGCUACUUCCUCGUUGAAUAUUGUUAUCCUCAGCCGAUCCAUCAGAUGGAGAUGCUGUUGGGGAUGCCCCUGGCGGUGACGCCGGCGUUCUCGCGGUCGGAGACGUUUGGGGAGAGCAGCGUGUACGGGAACUUUGCCGGGCUGUUGCGGUUCUUGAGCCGGGGGUCCGCGUUCAUGGCCUCCACGCGCUUCUCGAUCUCGGCCAGCCGCGCGCCGAACCUCUUGAACGCCUCCUGCGCCCUGGCGUCCGACGUCCACCCCGGCGUGUCCCGCUGGCCGAGGUACACCUCGUCGGAGGAGUGGCUGGACAGGAUCUCCAGCAGCGAGAUCCCCACCACGGCCUGGAACUGGCAGGUGAUGGAGCGCACGAAGAACCUCUCCGGGUCGCGCUCCAGCUCCGCGUACUCCUCCGUGCCCGGCGCCGGCAUCGGCCUCCGGCUAACCGACGGCCGGUUCGGGUGGUACCCGCAGUAGGGGUACUGCCCGAAGUUGACGGCGGCGUGCAGCGCCGACGCGAUCCAUAUGAUGGUGGCGCAGGCCCUGGUCAGCUCCGCCACCGUCGUCAUCCUCGGCCACCACGGCUCGUCCUUGAGGUCGGCGUGCCCAACCUCGCGCGCCUCCUUCCACCACGCCUGCAGCUCGGCGUCGGCCUGGAGCACGCCGUCGUCGGGGUAGUAGAUGGCCAGGUACUCAGCCACCCACUGCUCGAUGGCGUGCCAGAUCGCCAGCCCGUCCGACGCAUACGGGUAGUCCUCGAUCAGCAGCCGCACCUUGUACGGGCUCGAGGGAUCCUCGACGGCCAUGCCUCUCUUGACGAGGUCGUUGGGGAGGGCCUGGUCGGCGAAGCUCCAUCUCCCGUAGACCUUGGAGGAGAUCUCGAUCGCGUACUUGCGAGGGAAGACGGUCAUCUCGAAGAUGCCGCCGGCGUUGAUGAGCUUCUGGCGCGCGAGGGCGUUGAUGUUCAUGGUGUCGCGGUAGUGCGGGAGGAGCAGCUUGUGCACGGGGUGCGUCACGCUGAGCUGCCGGUUGGUGGCGAUGAUGAAGGGCUCCAUCACGGCGUGGGUGUUGAGCCAGUGGCUGAUGCCCUGGUGCCAGCAGUAGUCGUUCACGUUCACGUAGGCCUUGGCGAGGUGCCACACCCACGCCUCGGCGCCGGUGGUGGACGUGGGCGUGUACACCGUGCUCUUGGCGGCGGUGAUGCCGUCGCGGAGCUCAGGGAGGCUGAGCUCGAUGGCCACCGGCGCCAGCGUGCCGUCGCCGCGGAGGAACAGCAGCGUCCGGGUGGCGUAGAUGAAGUUGUCGUCCAGGUUGUUGAUCUCGACCAGGAACGGCAUGUAGUGGUCGUGGUGGUCAACUAUGUACAGCCGGUUGCUCUCCAGCGCCUGCUGCACGGUCAGGCCCUCCAGGUUCCUAUCGAUGUGCGCCGCCGUGAUGGUGCUCGUAUGGUCGCCGUACUUGCUCGGGUCCAGCGUGCUUUUCGGAGGGAACUCCUGCAUCGAUGACACAGAAACAGUAUUUAUUAAUUAUUGGUACUCCAAUUGGCCGAGACAUUCUCGAGGCCGUGCUCGAUCGAUUAACUGCCCGUCGUUCACAACUCACCGUGAGACGCUUGAUGAUCAUGGGGUUCACGCCGGCGAGUAUCUCCCUGGCGAACUCAUCAUCGCUCAUCCAAGCUUUCUUGUCCUCUGCACGCGAGAACCGAGAUGGCAUAGCAUAGGUCAGUAACAAACAUUGCUAAAUCACACAUAUAUGAUGGAUUUUUUUUAUGGAACAUGAGGGGCAAGGCAACCUUUGAUGAUCUUGGGCAUGGGGAGCUUGAGGAGGAAGUCGCCGCCGACGGGCAUGAGGUCCUUGAUGAGCUGGAGCGGGAACUGCUUGCGGAUCUCCUCGAGCGCGGGGACGUCGGGCACCUUGAUGCCUCCCUCGUACAGCCGGAUAAUAUCCUUGAAGGAGUUGAACUCGACGCCGACGUAGCCCUUGAGCGCCGGCACGAUGCCGUCGACGAGCGCCUUGAUGGAGUAGCCGAGGAAGUCGGCCGACUUGAUGUGGCCGAAGCGCUCGUCGCGCGGCACGUAGACGUCGUCAUCCAGCAGCGUGAGCCUGCUCUCGCAGUCGUGGUCCGUCUCCGUGGGCCUCCGGCCCGUGCGGCCGCGGCGCGGGUAGGGGUGGUGCUUGGAGCCCCCCAGGGUGGGGCGCGGGUUGCCGCCGUCCGGGUUGCCGAGGUCGUUGUAGACGUCGUAGCGGUAGACGCGGUCGUGCGCCUGGUACGGGCCCUGCUGGUCGUCGCCCCGGAGGUUCCGGAGCUCGUCGUCGCGGUAGGGCUUGAGCGCCGCCGGCAUCUGGCUCGGCAGGUACGUCUGCAACAACAACGAAACCCAUGAGUUGAUGAGUUGGCCGGUGAGUGGUCGGAGGAGGGAGCGUCGGCGGCGUCGCUAGUACUAGUUACUCACGUCGUUGGCGAAGAAGACGCGGUUGUAGCGGUACUUGGACUGGGGGUAGACCCAUGAGUUGGCGACGAAGACAACGGUGCCGCGGCCGGGGACGUUGUCGAGGGUGAUGGUCUUGAGGAAGAACUCGGAGGCGUGGUUGUUCGUGACGAUGAUGGCGCCGGGGACGCCGUGCUUCUCCACCUCCCAGUCGAACGUGACGCUGAACUGGUUCUCGCCGGCGAGAAGCGGCGGCGGGUUCAGCAGCCACUGCUCCAGGCUCGCCUCCGCGCCCACCUUGCCGCGGUUCCCGUUGUCUGCACGUACCACGACCGGUCAGCGUCACCGUCGUCGUCAAUGCCACGGAUACCGAAAGAAAACGUGUGAAUUUCAGUGCCUCUCGCUGCCCUUUUCGAUCGUCUCAAGCGCAUCCAUAGAAGAUUAAAUUGUGGGGAUGGCUUUCAUUUCCAAAAGGAGAAUUAAUGGACGAAAGAAAGGACUCGUACUGGGGUCGACGACGGUGGAGCUGAUGAGCUGGCAGGUGACGCCGCGGCCGAGGAACUCGGAGAUGCCGUCGAUGAGGGAGCCGGCGAUGCUGUUGACGUCGAGGACGUUCUUGCGCAUGAGCACCACGUUGCCAUUCAAGUGGCCAUGCUUGUUGCCGCCCGUCAGGUCGUCGAUGAUCGGGAUCUUCACUCCGAACAUCUUCGCUACUCGCUGGAGUGGCAGCGGCUGCUACGGUUCCUUGGAGGCUGGAGUGGGUGGCUGGCUAGCUGUGGGUACGGUGCUGCUGUGUGGGAGAUCGCUGGGCUAGCGGGCUAUUUAUAGAGCGGGAUGGGGUGGGUGGGGGUUCAAGUAGUGUGAAGCGGGAAUUGGCGAAGCGUCGUUCAAAACAUGACAACGACGACGUGUGUCGUCACCGUGCAAUGUGAGAGUGAGACCAUGCAUUUAGAACAAGCUAUGGUAGUAGGAGUACUAGAUGGGGCGCAUUUCUGGCCAUAUUUUUAGGGCGUCUCCGCGUUCCUUCCUUUAGUGCAGACUAAAGUUUAAUCCCUACUCUGUUUAGAUCCAGAGACUAAAGACUAUUAAAGUAAAUGAACAAAGAUUAAAAUACUCCUAAUCAAUGUACAAAAUCUGCAUGGUGUGGUGGCAAUAAUGAGGGGCAGGGGUUGUCCUCCUGAGCCUUUAAUCUCCUUUAAUCACCCCCAAGGGACUAGAGGACUAGUACCUUUAAUCCUCCAUUUAGUCUUCUAUUUGUAAGUUUAGGGACUAAAAGAUGGCAAAAGGGAGGGAUUAAACUUUAGUCUCAUGGAACCAAAUAGCCCCUUAGAGCUGGUUGAAUCAAUAUUUUACUUGUUGUAUAGUGGGAAAAGAAAGAGACUAGUGUGGAGGUAAGAGAUAGUCCUAAACGUUCCCGAUAUACUUCUCUCUCACGGUACAAUACUCAGUGCUGCUUUCUCUCCUCCAUAUUUAACAUCUUAAAAGCUAGUGCUAGAUCAUACCAUUGGAGACGGGCUUGUACACGUGGAUAGCAUGGCUCUGAUCCCUGCACAUCUCUGCCUACUACUCCACCCUUUCGCGCAUGUGAUGUGAUGAUGUGUACAGUCUAUGCAGAGAUCGCAUAUGCAGACAUGCAGUGACACUGACACACAGCCCUGCCCAUGCGCGAGUUGUACUCUGCCCUGCCCGAUCUCGUGUUGCAUGCAGCAUGCGUACCAUCAUGACAGGGACAGCCCCGUGUAUACUAAUAAUGACGCUAUGGAUGUUAAAAAUAAAAUGCCUCAAACUUUCGCCCAAUGUUACCGUGGGAUUUACGUGGAGACAUGCUCUCAACUCCGGUCUCCGGUGGUGGUAUGGUCAACUCGUCGUCAUGCAUGAUGCGAAUGAGCUUAUUAUUAGCACAUUUGGCUAAUCAAAAAAAAAUUAUUAGCACAUUUGGCUUGUGUCCCUGUCUAUCCGAUUCAAUAAGGUCGUAUUUUCGAGAUUAUUUUUACAAGAAAUAGUAAUGCAUGAACAGUCCGUUCACCAAUCGAAACGACAUAACUCGCACUACAUUAGUCGUACUCCCUCACCCUCUGUUCUUUUGAACUAAUUCACUUGUCCUCAAAAUCAUAUAUCUAAGAAAGAAGAUAAUACUCUUCUAAGGCAACAUUUAUAUAUGUAGAUUUUCAGUUAACUAUGAUUAUAAAACGGGCGAGAAUGUCUCCUGUACCGAGACUUGUUUAUGCAUCGCCGUGUGUAACCAAACAUAUAUAUAAUUAAAGUGCAUAAAAGACUACCAAAAAAAUAUGAAUAGGUAAAAAUGCACUCAUGUGCUUGCAUAUAACCUCGAACAAAACCUUGUGUACGGAGACGAAGAGAAAUCGGUAAGACGGCAACGGAUCCCUGGUCAGGAACCGGACUUAGAGCAUGGUUUGUUUGGCGGGGCUCCAGCUAUGGUUAAAACGACUGCAGCUGUGGCUUCUCCGAUAGAGCAGCAUUGGCUUCACCUUGUCUGUUUAGAAAAACGUUUGGUAAAAUAGCUCCUUCGUCAAUUUAAAGUGGAAAGAUAAGGCGAAGUACCCAUAAUAUCUUUUCCUUUUUGCAUCCUAUUUAUUUUCCUUCCCAUUUUUCCCUUUAUUUUUCUCUCCUUCCCCUUCUCUCUCUUCCUUAUCCGGCUCCCAGUCUUCUUCCUCCGGUCUUGUUCCUCCUGCGAUCGAAUGCCAACCUUCGACUUUACCCAGCCCUCUACCUCCCGUCGCCGGCUAGCCCCCUCCUCCCUCCAUCCCCGCUGGCCUGCACCCGCCUCCACACCAAAGAAAGGCGGAUGGUGCAGCACCUACGCCUCCACGACUUCGCCGGCCAAAACCUGUGCCCCCGCGAGGAUCUGCCUGUUUGUGCUGCCAACACGUCCUUCCGGGGUGCCAUCAUUGCUCGUUGGUCGUCCAUGGCCCGUCACCACCGGUUCAACACGAGAGGGAAGGAGAGAGCAAACAGGGGAGGGAGAAAAGGGUUGUAGGCUGUUUAGAGGAGGUGGUGGCAAAAUGGGUAUAAUUUCGACGAACGUCAGAGGUAUAUUGGUACCGAAUACUGCGGAGCUAGGAGGGAGCUGCAGGGAGCCAGAUUUUUUUGGCUCCGUCUCUCCGGUACAUUUGCGCGUGCGGCUUCGCCAAAGCUUUGAGCCUGGAGCCAUUUUUUGAUCACCCUUUGGUACAGCUUAACCAGAAGCCGUGUGCGUAGCUGUUGGAAAAGUUUCCAAAGUCCUACCAAAGAGACCCUAACUUUCUUUCGUCAGCCGCUCUACCAUCAUUUUCUUUAUGUUCUCGUCCAUUUUUCAAUAAUGAUAGAUGCAUUCAUGCAUAUGAUGGAGCAAAAUAUCUUGUGUUUUUUUUAUUUUUGUUUCUGAUCUCUGAUGCUACAGGCGCGCGCGCGCCCAUACCGACCACCCAGAUAUGCUUGAUUUUGUUCUCUAUCUAUACCGUACGUGCCAGGGCUAUAUACAUAUCUUGUGAUUAUUACAUGCACAUGGUACCCGAUUGGUUAGAGGGGACGAUGACGUAUUUUUAAUUCAGCGCCAACUUGCAUUGGAGAGGCCGAUCCAAUCGUGUAGCCUUUGCAUCGUUUUCAAGUAUUCAUUGGGGCUGACUGAUACAGUGAUACACAAGCCAGCCAAAAAGGGUAUGGCCGCAGCAUAUCUUUCCCUGCAGAAAGCGAUCUACUCUCCUAAAACGUGAAAAGCCAUUCCAUAAGAAGGCCUAGCUAUUACCCGUCGUCGCGUCCGUGUCAUGGGCGCAUGACAAGCUUAUACGUGGGUGGCUUUGACGUCCAGGCUGGAGGGCGAAGGUUGAAGAAGGUUGCGGUGGGCGGUGGCAGCAUUGCCUUCCAUGACUACACAGCGUAUACUCGGCUAAUUCAGCCAUUUUGACCCUCUGAUGAUUAAUAAUGAUUACUGGUUCGCCAAAUUUUCCUUCCAAAAUUACAACAUGUUACUCUAAAUAUUACUAGUUAUAUUAAAUACUCCCUCUGUCCCAAAUUACUAUUUGUUUUCGCUUUUCCAUCUAGAUAUAUACUAUGUUUAGAUACAUAGCAAAAGAUAUGUAUUUAGAAAAGUCGAAACGAAUAGUAAUUUGGAAUGGAAGGAGUAGAACACUAAAGAAAAUCUUUGGGACUAUGCGGACAAAAAUGGACACAAUAGCUAGCUAGGUACCGGACCUCACCCACGUUCACUUGACUACAUAUGGCCUAACUUCCAAAAGAAAGAUCGAAACGGAAAGCUUUAUGCAUUGAUUUUAGAAAAAGUUACAUCAAAACGAUGCAACAAUACUUGAAAAACUCCAAGUUUCGAUUAGGUUACCACUCAUGAGGAAAGGCAUCGGAGUAUAGCACUGUACAUUGUCAGGUCACAGCUCCACUCCCAAGUCCCACACAUGUAUGGUCGUCCUAUCCCUUGACAGAAUCCCUAGAUUUUAGUGCCGUGGAGCAACGUACGUAGAAGGAGCAGAAUCUCGCUGCAGCAUCAAGGCUAAUCAAGAAGGGUCCUCGAGGUUGCAGGCAACAUCUCUGAGAGGAGAUUGUCCACAGAGGAGGGGUUUAAGUUACCGGCAGGAUAUACUUCCUCCGUUCCAAAUUAUAAACCGUUUUAAUUUUUAAAUUCAUAAAUAUUAUUAUACAUUUAGAUAUAGUGUAUGUCUAGAUGCAUAAUAAUAUCUAUGAAUCUAGAAAAAUUAAAACGACCUAUAACUUAAACGUGCGUAGCAUGCGAAACCACAGGUACUUUUGAUUUGAUUGCACGUCUCAUCUCUCCAAACGAAUCGACAGCGGAUAUGAUAUCGAUGCAUCACGUACGAGCUGGGUCAGAAGCCGACUAUAUAUCAUUUUUCUCGUGGUAGCUAAUUGAGCUCUGAUUAGAUAAGAUUCCGGUUAGGAGGCCGGUCGACGUACUACGUGCCUCAUCAGCGAUGCAAUUUGCCAUGCGACGCACGAGCUAGCGUUUGGUGUCGGGAUCCGGGACGCGCUAGCUGUCCUCCUCCCUCAUCACUUACGCGGCGAGCAUGCAUGGCCAGGGCCCCGCCCGGCCUGCACAACUCUUUGUUGAUCCAUGCCUCGUCACGGCCGGUUGGUGGAAUCCAUAUCCUAUGCUACGAUGCGUCGUGUGUCUCGCCUGGUUGAUGGAACUCGAGUUUUUUUUUUAAUUUGUAUAUAUGGGCCCAUACCCCGUUGGUCCUUGGACAUGCAGAUCCGCUCCACACCGUAGCGUCCGGUGACGACUUUCAAGUUUCAACACGAGCUGGCUCUGGAGCGUACAAUAAUCGAUCUUGUUUAGUUUUGUCGCGGUAGCAGCUACGUCAUCAGCCAUGCAAUUUGCCAGGCGACGCACGAGCUCUUUGUCGGGACUCGGGGACGCGCUGCCGCCCUCACCGCUAGCUCCCGCGCCGCAUGGCCUGCCCGCCACGUCGAUCGAUCACAUACUUUCACACUAGCAUAUUGCAGCGUUGCAGGAGAGUGCUCGGAGCCGGUGGUAGAUGGGUCAUCAUCACUUCCGGUGGCUAAUCUUGCAGGAGAUGGGCCGAUGAUAGAUGAUGGGUCAUCAUCACUUGCAGGAGAGUGCUCGGAGUCGAUGAUAGAUGGGUCAUCACCACUUCCGGUGAGCGCGCGGCCGGCUAACAGCUGGGUGGAGCUUUUGCGUCCAAGUCAUCAGUGUUGCUAACCUUUGUCGAGUGGCGGAGUGGGUUGAUUAAUAUAUAAGAUACUCGAGUGCAAGCUGCUCGUGGAUCACGUCUUAGUCUUAAAUCUCAAGGGCUGUUCGCAUGCUAGAGCUAGAGCUUCAGCUCUUGCCUUCAGCUCUGGCCACAUCGAAUGUUCGAAUGAAGGACUACACAUAAGUUAAUUAUAAAACUAAUUGCAGAAAUCGUAGGCUAAUUCGUGAGACGAAUCUAUUAAACCUAAUUAAUCCAUCAUUAAUAAAUAGUUACGGUAGCACCACAUUAUCAAAUUAUAAACUAAUUAAGCUUAAUAGAUUUAUCGUGCUAAUAGAGGUUAUAAGCCAUGUAGCUUAAAUAUUUGAAGUACAGACAGCAAGAGUCUUGCCUUGGAUAGACAAGAAGUUUCUUUUACCAGCUUUCCUUCAAAAAUAAACACAUCUAGAAGUAAUUGCCAUCUAGCAAUUGCCACCAGAUACAAAAUACAUCUAUGUGCAGACCUCAAUAACAUGUCCUGAAUUAUGAGCGGCACAUAAAAAUAUAUUUCCUCAUUUUGGUUCAUGGUAUCACACAACCAUAGGUUGCCAGAUUAUCCUAACAGGCAUAUUUCCAACUUACCAAGAACUUGCUUGUCAUUAGAACAAGUUUUGAACCAGGCUGCAGCAGUCUCACAAUCUACUUGUUGCCGCUCGGUGAAGAAGAUGUACUGCAGCACAGCUCUUGCGAGCUCCGACCAUCGCCGCAACGAUUCCUCGCCGGCAAGGCGGCGACCGUGCGGUACCAUUGCUUCUCCGCAGCACCGCCUUUCCAGCUCGUCGGAGACCGCGUCAUGCCGCUGCUCGGCCGCUCCUCGUCGCGUGGCGAACUCCGCCACUGCGCCAGAGGCUCCGCGUCACCCGUGCGCGCGGAAGCCGCCGUCUCAGCCCUUCCUCCGUCGCUGGCGCAGUCACAUGGUCCGGUGGCUCAUCCUCGCUAGGCUCGGCACGCAUGGCGGAGCGUGUGGCCAGGUAGUUGCAGACGCUGGACGGGGUAGAAGUAGCAGUGGAGCAGCAACGGCGGCAAGGGGCAAGCAGCAGUGUGCCAGCACUUACGCAGCAGCGCGGUGGAGCUCAGCGUGCGGAGUUGGAAGCUGGAUUGUGUGGCUGGGCGAAAGGAUAAGGUAGAGGAACGGAUAAGGAACAAAGAGAAAGGAAGAAAAAAAUAAAAAGAGAAAUAAUUGGUUAAUUUAUAAUUAUAUUUAUUAAUCAUGUUCAUUUCACGUAUAAUCACAUUGCAAAUGGAGUCGAAAUAUAAAAUUUAUCUAUCAACUAAGUCAUAUAGGCUAUAGCUUACUCGAAAAAAAAAAUAUAGGCUAUUGCUAGGGGCACAAUAGGCAUUUGGCCUUUUUGAUACAUUUUCACAAUAAGAAUAGAAACUGUUUUGGCAAAUGGUUUUCAAAAUAGUUGUAGCUCCAUCGGAGAUGACGUGCAAUAAUUUUAUGUUGCUUGAUUAUAAAAUUUAUGUUUACAUAGAAAAAGCUGAUGUUUAUAAU
rnacentral:lncRNA from 1 species